UACGUAGGUGGCAAGCGUUGUCCGGAUUUACUGGGCGUAAAGGGCGCGCAGGCGGUCGUUCAAGUCGCGUGUGAAAGCCCCCGGCUCAACUGGGGAGGGUCACGCGAUACUGAUCGACUCGAAGGCAGGAGAGGGUAGUGGAAUUCCCGGUGUAGUGGUGAAAUGCGUAGAUAUCGGAAGGAACAUCAGUGGCGAAAGCGACUUCCUGGACCAAUACUGACGCUCAUGUGCGAAAGCGUGGGGAGCAAACAGG
rnacentral:rRNA from 1 species